AUCACCAUCUUCAUUUACAGGUGAAGAAACUGAGGCACAGAGACAUUAAGCCACUUGCCCAGUGUCACACAGAGUCAACCUCCUUCCUGUUGUCCAGAUGGAAACCUGGUUAGAAAUGAGCCAGAGGAGUAGCGAGCGGCCAGACCACCAGGGAGGACUCCGAGGCUCAAUCAGGGCAAGUUGAACAUAUUUGUAAGAAGUUAAGCCGAAGAGGAAGUGAACCAGAGGAAGGAUACAGAGAAAGGAGAUAACUGAUGGAACAGGCUCUCAGAGGAAGCAGGAGGGGACGGGGAAGACAGCGACAGAGUCAACCUUGGAAGCGAGAGGGAAACCGCAAUGAGGCAGGAGCUCCUAGAACAAGAGUGGAACACGCAAGCACUCAGUAAACAUGAAAUGAGUGAAUAAAGCACGGAAACAGGUAUUUUGAGUCAGUGAAGGAAGGCUGUCAAGAUCUAGAUUUGAAUGCUGUCUCAGGAACUUCCUUUUGGGUGGAAGUAAUUGCGAUUGGAGCCUUGGUUUCCUUGAGUUUGGCAUUUCCUUCAGUAAAAUGAAGAAAGUCAAUGUGAGGAAAAAGGAGGAUGAAUUGAAUUACAAAAGCUCGUGAUGAGCAGUCUUACUCUCUGCUCCUGAAUCCUCCUGACUUCUCUAGCUGGGACUCUUCUACCCUCAACCAUCUCUCACCUCACCCCAGCUUUGAAACCAUCCUGUUUCCCAGUGGGGGAAUAGAAGAAGACACGUUAUUUGCUUCAGGCUGAGUCAGUUUCAAGGCUGGUUCUGCACCGACCUUCUAGCUCCUAUAACUCAUCAAAUUCAGUAUGUAGCUGAGAAGGUGUUGGAAAUUGCAGCAUGCUAUAUAGUUGUGAACCCUUAUGAUUUUCUUCACAGAGCUGGUUUGAGGCUUUUGUCAGCUCUCUGUCCAUGUUUCUGCAGCUGCAGUCUAAAGUGAGGCAGGUCAUUACCUCCCCGGGUCUUGACAGUUCUAGUCACAAGGCUCUUACCCUAACGCUUGAGCCUGAGUCUCACCUUGGUGGGUCCCAGGUCCAGCCACAGAGCCUCUGUCGUGUCUGAGUCUGUCUCUCCUCCACGGUGCAUCUCUCAGCAUCCACCCUGACCUUUCAGGCUCUGGGUCCUUUGUCUCUGUUGUUGCUGGCCUGGCCUCCUUCUGUUGGCUGCUGUUUGUUGUGGCGUUCAGCACCUGUGCCCCAGGAUACCUGCCCAGGUUUACCUAUUGCUGUGAGGAAAUUUCACCUUCCGUAGUAAAAAACAAAAACAAAAACAAAACAAAUCUCAGAACUCCAGGGCUGGCACUGGAUGGGCCAUUGGCCUUGGCUUUCUCCUGAGACUCUCCUUCCCUUUGGGGUCUAUGGCUGAUCUUGGCGUCACUACAUUGGCCUAAGGAGGAACUGCUUCCCACUUUUUUUUUCUUACACUGGACAGAGGACUCUUGGUUGGUUCCCCAUGGCCCAACUGAACAAAGUUAGAAUGUUCAUAUGAGACUUGAAUAAAUGAUAGGCGGUAACAAAAGGAGAACAGAAGGAGAUGCUUUCGUCGAUCCUGUUUAGGACUCAGCUUACUUCUGCUCGGUUGUUGGACCCAUAUACGGAUGCCUUUCUUCCUGGCUCCAGGGAUCUUCCUGGUGCCUGCUC
rnacentral:lncRNA from 1 species